GAAUUCUGUGCUUUCAUAAAACUUUGAUGCUCCUACAAUUGACUAGUUGCAGGUUUAAUAACAAAGAAGAAUUAGAGGAUAUAGUAGGGCUUCAAAGAACAAACUACUGACCAUAGUUAACAACAGACAUCAAAGGCUGGAACAUAUGCAGAUUUUUUCAUUGGUUCUACUGGAUUUAACAGAAACUUAUAUUGGGAGUUGGAAUUUCCAUCUGUUAUCACCUUUUUAUACCAAAAACUUCUCUGACAUACUCGGCGCAAAAUUUUUAUUUACCACACUUUCUAUUGUUAAUCAUAGUCUGAACAAGAUAAAAUGUAAGGCACCUUGCAAAGACUAAUAGAUGGAAGCGGAAGAAGGGGUUCAUAAUGCAUGCUUAUAAUUCAAAACAUUUAAGAGUGAACCGUGAUCAUUUU
rnacentral:misc_RNA from 1 species